GACGAACGCUGGCGGCGUGCUUAACACAUGCAAGUCGAACGAUGAAGCCCAGCUUGCUGGGUGGAUUAGUGGCGAACGGGUGAGUAACACGUGAGUAGACUGCCCUGGACUCUGGGAUAACCCCGAGAAAUCGGAGCUAAUACCGGAUAGGCCCUUUCCCCGCAUGGGGUUUGGUGGACAGUUUUUCGGUUGGGGAUGGACUCGCGGCCUAUCAGCUUGUUGGUGAGGUAAUGGCUCACCAAGGCGUCGACGCGUAGCCGGCCUGAGAGGGUGACCGGCCACACUGGGACUGCGACACGGCCCAGACUCCUACGGGAGGCAGCAGUGGGGAAUAUUGCACAAUGGGCGCAAGCCUGAUGCAGCAACGCCGCGUGCGGGAUGACGGCCUUCGGGUUGUAAACCGCUUUUAGUAAGGAAGAAGGGGCUUCGGCCUUGACGGUACUUGCAGAAAAAGGACCGGCUAACUACGUGCCAGCCGCCGCAGUAACAC
rnacentral:rRNA from 1 species